rnacentral:rRNA from 1 species
GCGGCGUGCUUAACACAUGCAAGUCGAACGAUGAACCACUUCGGUGGGGAUUAGUGGCGAACGGGUGAGUAACACGUGGGCAAUCUGCCCUGCACUCUGGGACAAGCCCUGGAAACGGGGUCUAAUACCGGAUACUGAUCAUCUUGGGCAUCCUUGGUGAUCGAAAGCUCCGGCGGUGCAGGAUGAGCCCGCGGCCUAUCAGCUUGUUGGUGAGGUAAUGGCUCACCAAGGCGACGACGGGUAGCCGGCCUGAGAGGGCGACCGGCCACACUGGGACUGAGACACGGCCCAGACUCCUACGGGAGGCAGCAGUGGGGAAUAUUGCACAAUGGGCGAAAGCCUGAUGCAGCGACGCCGCGUGAGGGAUGACGGCCUUCGGGUUGUAAACCUCUUUCAGCAGGGAAGAAGCGAAAGUGACGGUACCUGCAGAAGAAGCGCCGGCUAACUACGUGCCAGCAGCCGCGGUAAUACGUAGGGCGCGAGCGUUGUCCGGAAUUAUUGGGCGUAAAGAGCUCGUAGGCGGCUUGUCGCGUCGGUUGUGAAAGCCCGGGGCUUAACCCCGGGUCUGCAGUCGAUACGGGCAGGCUAGAGUUCGGUAGGGGAGAUCGGAAUUCCUGGUGUAGCGGUGAAAUGCGCAGAUAUCAGGAGGAACACCGGUGGCGAAGGCGGAUCUCUGGGCCGAUACUGACGCUGAGGAGCGAAAGCGUGGGGAGCGAACAGGAUUAGAUACCCUGGUAGUCCACGCCGUAAACGGUGGGCACUAGGUGUGGGCGACAUUCCACGUCGUCCGUGCCGCAGCUAACGCAUUAAGUGCCCCGCCUGGGGAGUACGGCCGCAAGGCUAAAA